rnacentral:rRNA from 1 species
GAAACACUCCGCCUGGGGAGUACGGUCGCAAGACCGAAACUCAAAGGAAUUGACGGGGGCCUGCACAAGCGGUGGAGCAUGUGGUUUAAUUCGAUACUACGCGCAAAACCUUACCAGCCCUUGACAUAUGAACAACAAAACCUGUCCUUAACGGGAUGGUACUGACUUUCAUACAGGUGCUGCAUGGCUGUCGUCAGCUCGUGUCGUGAGAUGUUUGGUCAAGUCCUAUAACGAGCGAAACCCUCGUUUUGUGUUGCUGAGACAUGCGCCUAAGGAGAAAUUGCCACCGAAGUGAGCCGAGGAGCCGAGUGACGUGCCAGCGCUACUACUUGAUUGAGUGCCAGCACGUAGCUGUGCUUUCAGCAAGAAUUUCACCAUUGGGAGCCGGUGCCUUUCGAAGCACUUUCACGUGUGAACCGAAGUCGUCUUGCCGAACUCAAGACCCACGGAGACCUACCUAUAGUGACGUCAAAGUACCAGUGAGCAUGGAGGUUUGGUUAGGCUUGGUUACGACGACGUCGAGUUGGCGGCGGAGGAAGACUCGGCAUGAAGGCCAGCCGCCCGGUGGUGUGGUACGUAGUGGUAAUAGUACGCGCCCCGCUCCGAAACAAAGAAAAAGGUGCGUGCCGCACUCACGAGGGACUGCCAGUGAGAUACUGGAGGAAGGUGGGGAUGACGUCAAGUCCGCAUGGCCCUUAUGGGCUGGGCCACACACGUGCUACAAUGGCAAUGACAAUGGGAAGCAAGGCUGUAAGGCGGAGCGAAUCCGGAAAGAUUGCCUCAGUUCGGAUUGUUCUCUGCAACUCGGGAACAUGAAGUUGAAAUCGCUAGUAAUCGCGGAUCAGCAUGCCGCGGUGAAUAUGUACCCGGGCCCUGUACACACCGCCCGUCACACCCUGGGAAUUGGUUUCGCCCGAAGCAUCGGACCAAUGAUCACCCAUGACUUCUGUGUACCACUAGUGCCACAAAGGCCUUUGGUGAUCUUAUUGGCGCAUACCACGGUGGGGUCUUCGACUGGGGUGAAGUCGUAACAAGGUAGCCGUAGGGGAACCUGUGGCUG